UAUCCUGCCACCAUUGCCUCCAUGUGCCCCAGCUGUACCAGAUGCUACAUUUUAGAGAUUGUGUGAAAUGUUGCAUCUAGUGCACUAGUGGCUGUUGGAGAUAACCCGUCUAGGCUGAU
rnacentral:precursor_RNA from 15 species